UUAGAUGUCGUGGACGGCACGCGUGUUACAMUGAUGCAUUCAUCAAGUCUUCCUUGGCCGAGAGKCCUGGGUAAUCUUUCAAAGUGCAUCGUGAUAGGGAUMGAUCAUUGMAAUUAUUGAUCGUGAACGAGGAAUUCCUAGUAAACGCAGAUCAUCAAUCUGCAUUGAUUACGUCCCUGCCCUUU
rnacentral:rRNA from 1 species